GUCACUCUGAGUCUCCACCCCUGUUACAGCAAAAAGGGUGCCAAAGUCCAGUCCUUCCUCUUCCAUUGCAUUUUAACCCUUUCAGCUCUCCCCCCGCGCUUUCAAAAGAAGAACCCUCCGCACUCUGUUUCUCUGCUGGUUGCAUAGCAACCCCCUCACUGCCAUCUAACUCUCCCCCCCUUCUUGUGAGCUGUCCAAGUCUGCUGCUCCAGCUGAGUCAGGGAACUCUUGGUGAAGGGGGGCUGAGCUCACCCACACCUGCUCUGUCUGCAUUCUUUCAUCUCCAGGGUCAGACUCUGACGCUCUUUGUACUAGCAAUCCUUCAUCUCCAGUGUAGGACUCUUCCCAGGCAUUCAAUUCAGCCACGUCCCUGACAUAGAACAUAUAAUUAAAUGGUUGGUCUGUUAGCACUCGGAAAAGGAUGUUGUGAUUACUAAGACCCAACAUACGUUUCUCAAAAACUUAUUUACUUUUUGGAUAGAGUUAAAAACUUAGUGGAUCAGUAAUGCUGUUGACAUAGAUUCAGGUAGGUAGCCGUGUUGGUCUGACGCAGUCAAAAUAAUAAAUAAAUAUUUUUUUAAAAAAAAUAUGUCCAGGAGCACCUUAGAGACCAACUAAGUUUGUUCUGGGUAUAAGCUUUUGUGUGCAGGCACACUUUUUCAGAUACCUGACAUAGUGGCUGUUGACAUAGUUUAUCUUCCUUUCAGUACAGUGGUACCUCAGGUUACAGACGCUUCAGGUUACAGACUCCACUAACCAAGAAAUAGUACCUCGGAUUAAGAACUUUGCUUCAGGAUAAGAACAGAAAUCGUGCAGCGGCAGCGGAACGCCCCAUUAGCUAAAGUGGUACCUCGGGUUAAGAACAGUUUCAGGUUAAGAAUGGACCUCCAGAAUGAAUUAAGUUCUUAACCCGAGGUACCACUGUAAGGCUUUUGACAAAGUGCCCCAUUUUAUUCUUGCUGAGAAGCCAUUAAAAUGUGGGCUGGACAAAGUUAUUGUUAGGUAGAUUUCCAGCUAUUAAUUGACCAAACCCAAAUAGUGUUCUCUAAUGGUUCCUCACCAUCCUGGAAAAAAGUGACAAGUGGGGUGCCACAGGGUUCUGUCCUGGGCCCAUAGGUGUUCAGUAUCUUUAUAAAUAACUCAGAUGAAGGAACUGAGGGGAUACUCAUCAAAUUUGCAAAUGACAUCAAAGGGGGGGGGUAGCCAAUGCCUGAAAAGACAGAAUCAGAAUUUAAAUUGACCUUAACAGAUUGGAGAACUGGGCCCAAACUAACAAAAAUGAAUUUCAAUAGGGACGCGGAUGGUGCUGUGGGUUAAACCACAGAGCCUAGGGCUUGCCGAUCAGAAGGUCUGCAGUUUGAAUCCCUGCGAUGGGGUGAGCUCCCGUUGCUCGGUCCCUGCUCCUGCCAACCUAGCAGUUCGAAAGCACAUCAAAGUGCAAGUAGAUAAAUAGGUACCACUCUGGUGGGAAGGUAAACGGUGUUUCCAUGCGCUGCUCUGGUUUGCCAGAAGUGGCUUAGUCUUGCUGGCCACGUGACCCAGAAGCUGUACGCUGGCUCCCUCGGCCAAAAAAGUGAGAUGAGCACCACAACCCCAAAGUUGUCCACGACUGGACCUAAUGGUCAGGGGUCCCUUUACCUUUACCUAACAGAUUGGAGAACUGGGCCCAAACUAACAAAAAUGAAUUUCAAUAGGGGCAAAUGUCAGGUUCUUCACCUAGGCAGGAAGAACCAGCUGCACAAAUAUAAAAUGGGGGACAACUAGAGUGCUAAGGGAUCUUAGUAAUCCAAAAGCUUCAGGGGAGUCAAGAGUGUGUGGUAGAAGCAAAAAAAAACCCCAAAACAAAAAAACCCCUAAUGCUAUUCUAGCCUGCAUUAACAAAAAUAUAGUGUCCAGAUCAAGUGAAGUCAUCUUCCCACUCAAUUCUGCCUUGUUUAGACCACACCUGGAGUACUGUGUUCAGUUCUUGGCACCACAAUUUAAGAAGGAUAUUGAGAAGCUGGACUGUGUGCAUGGGAGGGCAACCAAGAUGAUAAACGUUCUGGAAACCAAUCAUUAUGAGGACCAAUUGAAGGAAUUGGUUAUGUUUAGCUUGGAAAAGAGUCUGAGAGGAGAUUUGAUAGCCAUCUUCAAAUAUCUCAAGGGCUGGCACAUGGACGAUGGAAUAAGCUUGCUUUCUCCUACUGUGGAGGGUAGGACUCAGAUCAGUGCAUUCAAGUUACAAGAAAGGCAAUUCUGACUAAACAUCAGGAAUAACUUUUGGGUGGUAAGAGCUGUUGGACAGUGGAACAGACUCCAUCGGAAGGUGGUGGUCUGUUCUUCACUGGUGGUUUUUAAGCAGAGAUUGGGUAGCCAUCUGGCAUGGAAGCUUUAGUUGAGCUUCCUGCAUUGCAAGGGGUUGGAUUAGAUGACCCUCAUUCUAUGACUCAUUCUAGGUGCUGAUCUGUGGCCACACACCCAACAGCUGCACAGGAAUCUUCUCCUCAAUCUUCCAUCCAUCCCAGCCACCUACUUGUGAGCCUUGGUCUAUAUUUCCUAAUCCACAAACAAACACCAGCAUGCAGCAAAGGCAAAAUAAGGCUAAUUAAUGUCCUGACCUUUAUCAACCUCUUUCUCUCUCUGUCCCAAGCUGUACUUUAGAAACUCUGACGGGGAUGAUAAUUGAACUGUCUUCCUUUAAUUUGUGGAAAUGAAUUCUUAGUUGGUUCUUAUUAGUCAAUUAUAUCGCCUGGAAGGAAUUAGAACAGAUUGAUCAGGCCCUUUCCGUUAAUAGCAGUUAUAAGGAAAUACCAGCCAUCAUCUCCAAAGGUUCCGCUACGCACUUGGCUGGCCUUUGGUCAAGUAAUAUACAGAUAUAGAUACAAAACGGCAAGGGGUUCUUGGUUUGAUCUCAGUCUCGUGAUCCACAGCUUAGCGCUCAUUUCCAUAUUUGCAAACACAUCCCCCCCCCCCCGGACACUGGAAAUGAGCACUAAACAUAUGCUAUAUUCCACUGUACUUCCGGAAGUUAAGGUUUGAUGUGCAUAGAUGGCACAAUAUAAAUUCAUGAUGAUAUCUGCAGCCAUUUUCUUACCGGAAAGUGUACAUCAGGUACAUCAGGUACAGUGUACAUCCAAGUGUUCAACCAUGUUGGUUAUCAGUUGAAGGUAGUGGUGGUUGGAAGGGGGAAAUCCCUUAAAGUCAGAAAACUUAUUUUAAAAAUAUGUUCUAUUUUAUAAUAUACAGUCGUUUACCUUGGUUUCUGAACAGCUUAGUUCUCGAACGUUUUGGCUCCCAAACGUCGCAAAUCUGGAAGUGACUGUUCUGGUUUGUGAACUAUUUUUGGAAGCCGAACAUCCGACGGGGCUUCCGUGGCUUCAGAUUGGCUGCAGGAGCUACCUGCAGCCAAUCAGAAGCCGCACUUUGGUUUUCAAACGUUUUGAAAGUCAAACGGACUUCCAGAAUGGAUUCCGUUCAACUUCCAAGGUACGACUGUAUAUAAACAAUUAUAAGAACAGGUGAAAAGGAAUUUAAAAUGAAUAGAGAUACAAAUGAGCAAAGUAACAAAUAUAGAUACAAAUCAGUUAAGUAACAAAGUCCUGUUCAUGAAAGAAAGAAAAAAGUGGGAAUAAUUGUACUCUGCUAAUUUAAAUGAAUUUGGCAUGCUAGCAGGUUUUAAGGUUAAUCAUCAAAAAACCCAAGAAUACAACAUAUGACAACAGAAGAUCAAAAGACUUUAAUGGAGAAAACUGAAUUUCAAAUUGGAACAAAGUAAAGUAUUUGGGUAUUACCAUGACAAAUACAAAUUGUAUGUUGUUUCAAAAUAAUUAUGUUAAGACAUGGAUGGAAAUUAAAAAGAUAUGUUGGGAAAAAUUAAUAUUGUCCUUGGUGGGUAGAAUUUUUGUGAUAAAGAUGACUAUAUUGCACAGAAUGAUGUUUUUGUUCCAUUACAGCUAAUGACUUACAGUACCAUUCAAACAAUGGCAAAAAGACUUAUCAAGGUUUGGAGGGGGGAGGGACAACACCAUGUUUUAAAAUAUUAGAAGAUGCAAAGGAAAAGGGAGGAUUGGUGUACCAAACCUUAAACUGUAUUUUGCAGCCUGUUUUUAGUGUGGAUGCAGGACUGGAUGAGAUUGAGAAAUAAGAGACUCCUGGGAACAUAGGGACAUGACCUAAAGUUUGGAUGGCGUGGAUAUUUGUGGCACCACAAAGUUAAAGUGGACUUUAAAAAUCACUUUACUAUAUGUGCCAUAUUAAUAAUUUGGAAUGAAUACAAACCUGGAUUGUGUCCAAAGACACCGUUAUGGAUCUUAUCACAAGAAGCUUCCUACAGAAAAGAGAUAAAAUGCAAAGAGAAAUGUACAACGUGCCAAGAAUUUUUAAAAUUGCAUCAAGGAGAUUAUAAAAUUAAAAGAAGACAACAGCUAAUAGAGGAAGGUUAUAAUUUUCGGUGAUUUUCUUAUAUGCCAUUAGCAGAGAGGUUUAAAUUGGAUUAAAACACAUUUGGUAUAGAUAUAGAACAAGGAAAGACCGGCUUUGAAACUUAACUGAGAGCAGAAGAUGAACAUCUUGCUGCAAAGAUGUAUAAACUUUUGUUGAAAUUCAAAGCCGAAGAAGAACAAGUUAAAGAACGUAUUAUUAAUUGGGCAAAAUAUUUUUGUUAUAAUAUACAGAUGGAACAGGGGGAGUAUAUGCGGACUAAAGGGUUAAAAUUUACGUUGUGUUAUAAUGUCAAAGAGAACUUUUAUAAAAUGAUGCAUCAUUUUUAUUUAACUCCUGAGAAAUUGUUUAGAAUAUGCAAAAGUGUUUCAGGUAUUUUCUGGAAGUGCCAAGAACAUGAGGAGACAUUUGCUCGUGCUUGGUGGACAUGUGAAAAGGCUAAAAAUACAAAUACAUACAUUGAAAGAGAAGAUUUUUAAAGAUUAAUAUCCAAUUGAAGCCAGAACCUUUUUCUUUUAGGAUUAAUGGAUACAUGAUUGGAAAGGUUUAUGGAAGAUUAUUCCAAUAUAUGAUUACAUCAGCAAGAUUGUUGUACUCACAAAGUUGGAAAGACACAGUUCUACCUACUACGGAAGAAUGACUGAUAAAAUUAUUGGACUUAGGUGAGAUGGCAAAGUUAAUGCGUAAUUUGAGAAAAAUCAUUAUUGACCUUUAUUAAGAAUUGGAAGGAGGGACGCGGGUGGUGCUGUGGAUUAAACCACUGAGGCUAGGACUUGCCGAUCAGAAGGUCGGUGGUCCAAAUCCCCGCAACGAGGUGAGCUCCCAUUGUUUGGUCCCUGCUCCUGCCAACCUAGCAGUUCGAAAGCAUGUCAAAGUGCAAGUAGAUAAAUAGGUACCACUCAGGUGGGAAGGUAAAUGGUGUUUCUGUGCACUGCUCUGAUUCGCCAGAAGUGGCUUAGUCAUGCUGGCCACAUGACCCGGAAGCUGUACGCUGGCUCCCUCAGCCAAUAAAGCGAGAUGAGCGCCGCAACCCCUGGACCUAAUGGUCAGGGGUCCCUUUACGUUUAAGAAUUGGAAAUGUCUUAUGGACUUUAUGCAUGAAAGAGAAAAUGAACUUGUAAUAUUUGGAUUUGAAGAUUAAAAAAAUAUUGGCUUAUAGAAAAUAGAACAGUUGGGUGUCAAUGAGUGAAUAUUAAAUUUAGCCGACUUUUAAAAUCUUUUUUCUAUUUCCUUUCUUUUCUCUCUUUUUUCAUUUUUCUUUCUUUUCUUCCCCCUCCUCUUCCCCUCUCCCUUUUCUUUGCUCCUGUUCCAUUUUAGAUUUUAAAAUUAUUUCUUUUAUUCUGGUGUAUUGGAUAUAAACCUUUUUAUAUCUUUUGGCAAAUAAAUAAAGAGAAAGAGAAAGAGAAACCGUAUUUUGCUCAAUUCUAGUAGCAAUAUUCUGUUGGGAGCCGCCCAAAGUGACUGGGGCAACCUAGUCACAUGGGUGGCAUUUAAGUAAUAAAAUUAUUGUUGUUUUUAUUAUGGAAAUAAGGGGACUGGGUUUACACAUUUCUGGCACACCUGCAAGGACUCUUUCACUGCCUCAAACAGGCUGCAUUUAGCCAAGGAAUUAGGUGGAGCUCAUGAUUAAUUAAUCAUGUUUAUUUAUCAACAAUUAUAGCAAUGACAGACGUCAAUCUCUUGCCUUUGUUAUGCAUCUAAGACUAGAAAGUCCAGUCAUUAGGCAGGGAGUAAAUAUGCAAGUCAUCAUGCCCAGGGGUGUAUCAUAUCCCGUAGGAGAGGCCUUGAGAUGGUAUAAAAAGUUAUCUGGACCCAAUGAUGUCUUCAUUCACUCACUUUCAACUUCUCGGCUGGUUCCUGUUGCUGGAGAGGGUAAGUCAAGUCCGUAUGCUUGCAUGCAUUUGACCGAUAACAGAACUAAGUCAUUCAGCUGGAGUUGAAAAUGGAAGAUGAACUAAUUAUAAAACGAUAGCUUCUGGUUGUGCAAGAGGAUGUUUUAGAGAAUGGGUUUUGAUGCAAUCAACGACUGCUUAAGAGAAAUUUAUAUAUGAUAAUAUAUUUCUAGUGCAAAGUAAAGAAGCAGUUAUGUAUAGGGUUAGCAAAUAGACACAGAUGCACCACAGAUUUGAUUUUGAAACCAAAUUCAAUGCUCCAUUUAGAGGUUGCCGCCAUAACUCUGUACAAUGGUACCUCAGGUUACAGGUACUUCAGGUUACAGACUGCUAACCCAGAAAUAGUACCUCAGGUUAAGAACUUUGCUUCAGGAAGAGAACAGAAAUCAUGCUCUGGUGGCACGGUGGCAGUGGGAGGCCCCAUUAGCUAAAGUGGUACCUCAGGUUAAGAACAGUUUUGGUUAAGAACGGACCUCCGGAACCAGUUCUUAACCAGAAGUAGCACUGUCUAGGCAUUUCAUUUUCAAUGAGUGAAUCAGUAAUCAAUUCGCAGAAGCAGUUUGGUUUUGACACUGGAAUUCAUAUUGCAUUUCUUACAUUGAUUCCUUUUUGUUUGGAUUUGCAUGCCCCUUUGAGAUUUCGGUACAAAAUCUCGGAUACAAUUGGCUUUGCCAUAUUACAAUGCCAUUACCUCCAUCAUAUGCUCCCUGUUGCUGUCUGGAUGAAAAGUCUCCUUGAGCUCUGGGGAUGCUUCUUGUGUGCCUGAAUGGAGAACAGGGAGUGGUUUGGGAGUGUGUGCAGAAACCAGCCUACUGCACAAAGGUGAAAUUUGCCUUUGCUGCCCCUCCCACUUUUGCUCCUGACUCUUCUUCCCAUUGCCAUGUGAACCCUUGGAAGGUUGUUGGUGCAUGAAAGGCUGAUUUUGUCUUACUUAUCUUCCAGAGCUAAACCACCAGAAGGGAAACAAAACAGGAGAAAGAACACGCUCCACACCAACAUAGGAAGAUGAGUUCUAUGCAGCAGAAGCAGGGUGGUGGC